CGCCUAAACCCGCAAGGGCAUGGUCGCCAAACCCUAACCUAUAAAGAUGGUCUUCCGACCAGUACUUGUAGGUUAGGUCUACAUUCGAAAGGAUGUAGUGGCGUUUCCGUAAGGGGGCGUC
rnacentral:sRNA from 1 species